GACGAACGCUGGCGGCGUGCUUAACACAUGCAAGUCGAACGAAGUGGCGAACGGGUGAGUAACGCGUAAUCAACCUGCCCUUCAGAGGGGGACAACAGUUGGAAACGACUGCUAAUACCGCAUACUGAAGGAGGGGAUUGCGUCUGAUUAGCUAGUUGGGGGGGUAACGGCCCACCAAGGCGAUGAUCAGUAGCCGGUCUGAGAGGAUGAACGGCAACAGUGGGACUGAGACACGGCCCAGACGCCUACGGGAGGCAGCAGUGGGGAAUCUUCAGGAAUGGACGAAAGGCGGACGGAGCAACGCGGCGUGAGUGAUGACGGCCUUCGGGUUGUAAAGCUCUGUUAAUCGGGACGCGGUACCGGAAUAGAAAGCCACGGCUAACUACGUGCCAGCAGCCGCGGUAAUAC
rnacentral:rRNA from 1 species